rnacentral:lncRNA from 1 species
AUUCCGGUGUCAGGUCAUACAUGAACCUGUUCUGAAGAGUUUUCUCCUUGAUUAUUCCCCAGCGUUGUCAGGUCUUAUAUGAACCUGUCAUAGCAUCUUUUUCUUUGUUCGGUUGUAUUCUAAGUGCCGUUUAUCAAAUCUCACUUUGAAUACUCCCCAGUGUGUGCCUGAUUCUCCAAGCAGGACUGUCUCCCCAGCAAGUU